rfam:Cyanothece sp. PCC 7425 plasmid pP742502, complete sequence.
GUCCCCAAAAGGCAACUUGCUCCGAAAGGGUAAGACGCAAAUUGGUAAUCCUGUAGCCAAAGUGUCGGUAUGGAUGUGCCAAUGCCGAA